rnacentral:rRNA from 1 species
UACGGAGGGUGCAAGCGUUAAUCGGAAUUACUGGGCGUAAAGCGCGCGUAGGUGGUUCUGUAAGUCGGAUGUGAAAGCCCAGGGCUCAACCUUGGAAUUGCAUUCGAUACUGCAUAACUAGAGUAUGGUAGAGGGAAGUGGAAUUUCCGGUGUAGCGGUGAAAUGCGUAGAUAUCGGAAGGAACACCAGUGGCGAAGGCGACUUCCUGGGCCAAUACUGACACUGAGGUGCGAAAGCGUGGGGAGCAAACAGG